CAGAGGGACUGGAUGAUUGGGUCCAUUAGUCAGUCUGAAAGAAACUUAACUUCCAAGGCCCUUGGAUGUGACUCUUUUAAUACAAAAAUGAUGGAAGAAAUUUUCUUUAGUUGUUCAGGCAGAUGGAACACCACUGAAAUUGGCUGCUCCUACUCACUUGCAGCUACUCAGUUUAGGAUUUUAACACCUUUUGUUUGUUCCAAAGGAUAGCAAACAUUGCUGAAUUUGAAGUUAUCUCCUGGAGAACCCUCUGCAAGCCUUCUCUGAAUCUGAGUGUAUCAACCCCAAUACAGUGGCUUUGUUUCUAACCCACUGAACAGACAAAUAAAUGGCUUUUACCCUCUCUCAGGUUAAAUGGAUACCUAGCAGUUUGCAGUGACUCUAAAAGAUUAAUUUGAUACAAAACCUGUAUAUGGCACCUCCAGCUACAUGUAGAAGAGCAUCAGCACUAUGACCACUUCUGUUUCUGGGCCUUUCAUUGCCUGGGGAGGAAAUAUCUUCCACCUGGAAAUGUGCCUGACACUCCGUUUCCUGAAGCGCAGUAGAGGAUGCAGAAUACUAGUUGAAAUAACUUCUCCUGGCUGAUGUGGAAAGACAACACAGACUUCAUCUGCAAAAGAGUUACAAAGGGCUGGAUUCACUCAGAUCUGCCUUAUGGACCCUGCAUUAAGCAUCAGGUUGACAAGAAGGCCAAAGGAUGAUGCAGGUUAGCAGGGCACUGGUUGGGGCAGUCAGCAGAGAAGUGACAACAGAGCCACGAGCCUGUGAGCCAAGCCAGGCUGGGAACAGCAGGGCUUCAGUCUUGUUAGAGCCACACGGAGGGGGAAUGGUCUCACAAGGGAUGUCUGUCCCGGAUUUGCCCUUUGGGAUUCAUGGUUAUUUAGGAGUUAGCCAGUGGCUUCUGACACGAUUGUCCAAGGAAGAUUGGAGUAACCACAUAAAAAAUAUUUUUGUCUAAUUGGCAGCCUAAUGAUAUUUUGUAUGAGUCUGGAGCAAUGUGGCUCAUUGUGUGGGAGUCCAGACAGAUAUAAUUCAUGUUUUGUUCUGCCUGUGAGAGAAACCUUAAAAAUUUGAGGAAUUAAUUCCCCUUUGAGCUGAAGGAUAAUUGGAUAACAGAACCUGUCAUUAAGAUAAUCACUGCAGAUCUGCUGCCUGUGGCAUUUCUGGACAAUACCUUACAGAGCCUUCCUGCUUGGCAGUUCCUGAGAGCACCAAUCUUUGGUCCCGAACCCUUCCCAUCCUCUGCACAGGGAGACAAAGAACUCACGGGCCAACAGUGUUCAGCCUUCACAGUGGAUGAUUAUUCUGUGGAGUCCUUCAAAGUCAAAGAAAUGCUUUAAUUUAGCUCAUAGUUUGGAAGGUUAGCAGAUGGGCUGAAAAAUCUGAUCGACAGUUUUCAAAAAUAGAUGUAAUAACCUUAGAAUGUGAGUUUUGGUUUGAUACCCAAGGAAAAUGGUCUUUGAUUAGUGUAGCUGCUUGGAGCUGGCAAGUUCAUACAUGACUGGGGAAGCAGAGAAGAAGUGAAAUCAGGCAAAAUCCCUGAUCUGGAGCCAGAAGAUGUGGCUCUUAUUGAGCCAAAGUGGCUGCAAAGAGAACUGUGAAAACAUGUUUGGUGCCAAAAGAGCUCCACCACUGCCCUCUCCAGCUGCAUCCAUGGGCAAUAUGCUGACCCCUUGCCCUGUUUCCUGCCUGCCCUCACUGGGGGAUAGGAAGGAUGGGGAACGCUAGCCUUUAAAUCAAUCUAGUUUUCAGACUCAUUACCUCUUUCUCCUCAACAUUUUCAUCUGCCUUAGAGUGAUAAACUUAUUCCUAAAUAAAACUUACCAGCCCAGAAAUGAUUGAUUACCUGAAAUCAAUCAAAAUUACAUUCAACCUGAAAUUGCAUUUGGUAUUUUCAAGUAAUGUGUAUGUGUGACAGGUUAAAUACAGAAAAAAUAUCAGAAAAACACAGUACAAAACAAAACGCAUUUGCCAACAUGCAAUGUCAGUAAACCAACAGAUCAAUAAACAUUU